UACAGAGGGGGCAAGCGUUAUUCGGAAUUAUUGGGCGUAAAGGGCGCGUAGGCGGCUACUUAAGCGUGUGGUGAAAGUCCGGGGCUCAACCCCGGAUCGGCCGUGCGAACUGAGUGGCUCGAGCACUGUAGAGGCAGGUGGAAUUCCGGGUGUAGCGGUGGAAUGCGUAGAGAUCCGGAAGAACACCGGUGGCGAAGGCGGCCUGCUGGGCAGUGGCUGACGCUGAGGCGCGACAGCGUGGGGAGCAAACAGG
rnacentral:rRNA from 1 species